CAGGGUCGCGGUUUACCCGCACAAUUGGGCUAUUAUGAAAAUCCAGUCGCGGGAAAAAUUACGGAGCCGCGGGUUGCUAUUUUUUUUUUUUUUAUAAUGUAUUGCGGCCGGACAUACACUGUGCAAUUUUUAAUAGUCCUUUGCGAUUGUUGCUUGUCAGACUGUACGAACAUGAUUCCCGUGUCACACUGUAGGAUCUCAGGUGUCAUAAUGUCAGACUGUACGACAGUCAAGACGCGUAAAAAACGGACACACACAAGAAGACGCGUCCGGGGUUUUACGUCAUCAAUCCGUGACACGUUCAGACCCGUGUUUUCUCGCUAAAAUGGUAACUAGCAGCAAACAAAAACAAUCUGUAGCGUUAAUUUUGUUAAUGACAUGCCUUGAAAAUAAAAACAGAAAAAAACGAAGACGACGUGUCUGGAGCAAGUCAUGGCUGGGCAAAAGAGGACGUUAUGGACUUCCAAUUCUACAGAGCGAACUUGAGAGUGAUGACACACAAGGGUUUAGAGAUCUCCUUCACAUGAAUGUACAGGAAUUUGAACAUCUGCUGGAUUUGGUCUCUCCCCACAUAAACAGGACACACACACACAUCUGAGAAGAGCAAUUACUGCUAAGGAGAGACUCUCUGUGACACUUGGCCACAGGAGAAUCAUUUGCCUCACUGUGUUUUCAGUACAGAAUGGGACGGACUACUGUUUCAAGGAUUGUUCAAGAGACAUGUGAGGUGUUGUACCAUGUGCUUAAGGAAAAGUACAUGAAGACUCCAGUGGCAGAAACUGAGUGGAGAGAUGUGGCUAAAGGAUUCCAGGAAAGGUGGAAAUUUCCACAUUGCCUUGGGGCAAUCGAUGGAAAACACAUCACCAUUCUUCCCCCAGGGAACAGCAGGAGCACUUUUAGGAACUACAAGUCCCGUUUUUCUAUCUUGCUGAUGGCAAUUGCUGAUUCGCAGUACAGAUUUUUGUAUGCCAAUGUUGGUACUCAGGGAAGAGUGUCUGAUGGGGGCCUCAUUGCCCACUCCGAUCUUCGAAAGGCAAUGGACCAAAGGGUUUUUAAAUGUUCCUCUGGCUGAACCACUACCAGGCACAAUUAUUGAGAUGCCUUACAUGUUCAUCGCGGAUGAGGCUUACCCUCUUCGCACAGAUUUAAUGAAGCCAUAUCCUUCAAGACACCUUGCUCAUGACCAACGCAUUUACAACUACAGGCUGUCACGGGCAAGACGUGUCAUUGAAAAUUACCUUUGGAAAACUGGCCAACCAAUUCCGAGUAUUUCUCUCUACCAUCCAUCUGGAUCCAGUGGCAGUGACAAAGAUCACCUUGGCUGCUUUUGCCCUUCACAGUUACAUGCGAGAACAUGCCCCGGACACAUACAUCCCUCAAGGAUUUGCCGAUACUGAAGAUACAGAACACCACAUCAUCCCUGGUGAGUGGAGGAAUGACACAGGUCUCCUAUCUGUACCUGUACCUACAUACCGAGCUAGAAAUGGGUGUGCAAUUGCUAAAGAUCAGAGAGACCUUCUAAAGGCAUACUUUAUCUCAACUGCAGGGUCAGUCCCAUGGCAGGAACAAAUGUUGUGAACCAUCCACACAGUUCCACACAUUUGCAGUACAUAAAUCACAAGCACAAAGUUACAGUAUAUGUAGUUGCAAACAAUUUUUAUUUUUGUCAGCAUCUUUUUAAUGCAUAGUUCACCCAAAAAUGAAAUUUUAUCAUCAUUUGCUCACCCUCAUGUUAGUCCAAACCUGUAUGAGUUUGUUUCUUCUGUUGCUAAAGAAGAUAUACUAAAGAAUUUUGGUAACCAGGCAGUUGACGGCAGCCAUCGACUUCCAUAGUAGGAAAACAAAUGUUUUUUUUUGUUUUUGAGCUGAUAAAAGUUAAAAAUCACUCUUUGUAAAAUAGUUAAUUUUACUCAAUUUUAAAACCCAAUUUUAUUUAUAUUCCAGUGUUUUACUGCUAAGGUGUCA